rnacentral:rRNA from 1 species
UACGGGGGGGGCAAGCGUUGUUCGGAAUUACUGGGCGUAAAGGGCUCGUAGGUGGCCAACUAAGUCAGACGUGAAAUCCCUCGGCUUAACCGGGGAACUGCGUCUGAUACUGGAUGGCUUGAGUUCGGGAGAGGGAUGCGGAAUUCCAGGUGUAGCGGUGAAAUGCGUAGAUAUCAGGAGGAACACCUGCGGUGUAGACAGCUUUCUGGACCACUUCUGACGCUGAGACACGAAAGCGUGGGUAGCAAACAGG